CAGUAGCCGCGGUAAAACGGAGGGUGCAAGCGUUAAUCGGAAUUACUGGGCGUAAAGCGCACGCAGGCGGUCUGACAAGUCUGUUGUGAAAUCCCCGGGCUCGACCUGGGAAUGGCAAUGGAUACUGGCAAGCUAGAGUGUGUCAGAGGAUGGUGGGAUUCCCGGUGUAGCGGUGAAAUGCGUAGAGAUCGGGAGGAACAUCAGUGGCGAAGGCGGCUAUCUGGGCCAACACUGACGCUGAGGCACGAAAGCGUGGGGAGCAAACAGGAUUAGAUACCCCUGUAGUCCCUGUCUCUUAUAC
rnacentral:rRNA from 1 species